GGAUAGUACUCACCUACUUGGGGUUUAAGAGAGGUUUUCUCUGCUGGCCUUCUCCUCUUUCUUCUCCAUCUUGAAUCUCUGGUCUGCUCAGACUUAUCUCCAUCCGCCACCAAAAAAUGGCUUCCAACGUCUCUCUACCUAUGAACUACAGAGCUCAAUUUCAGUCCCCAACUUGGCCACCAAAACCUCCCAAAAUCACCAGAAUUCAUAAAUCCUACAAAAACCUCCAUUUUCUCUCUGUACCAGCCAAUCACUGUCUCUCUACUCCUUUACUCUCUUCCUCUUCUUUCCCUCUUAUCACCAAAUUCCCUCGUAAUCUACUCCCUUUCCACCCUUUGCAAGAUGCUACUGAGGAACAUAUCAUCGAAGACAUUGAUAAUUCCAUGAGAAACCACCAAAAUCUUGAAAAUUUGAUCAAAUUGGACUUACCCACUGGCCACAAUCGCCAGAUUAUACGUCAGGAAUUGUCAGAAAGAGUUCUUAUCCAUGAUCCUCCGUGGAUUUCAGCUCUUUUUUUUAAGGGACUGUACAAGAUAGCUAAUCGAGAAUUGAAGGUAGAGUUCAAGGAUAUUGAAAAGAGAAAGUAUAAUUUGCUUAGGAGGAGGCAAAUUAGACAAGAGACUGAGGCGUGGGAGAGAAUGGCGGAAGAAUAUAGGUGUUUAGUGAAGGAAAUGUGCGAGAGGAAGUUGGCACCAAAUUUGCCGUAUGUUAAGGGAUUGUUUUUGGGGUGGUUUGAGCCCUUGAAAGAGGCCAUAAAGAAGGAGCAGAAUCUGCAGAGGUCGAAGAAGCAGAAGGCGGCCUUUGCUCCCCAUAUUGAGUUGUUGCCAGCAGAUAAGAUGGCAGUGAUCGUUAUGCACAAGUUGAUGGGGCUAGUGAUGGUUGGCCAUGAAGAUGGGUGUGUGCCAGUUGUCCAGGCUGCGGUGCAAAUUGGUAUGGCUGUAGAGCAGGAGGUUAGGAUUCAUAAUUUCUUGGAAAAAACAAAGAAUUUCCAAAGGAAGAAGACAAUCACUGAUGCUCAACAGAGUCUGGGAAGGGAGAAGGAGAUACUCAGAAAACGUGUUAAUAAUUUGAUUAGAAGGAAAAGGCUUAUUGAGGUGCAGAAGCUGUUGAAAAAUGAAGAAAUGAAACAUUGGGGUCGAGAUACACAGGCUAAGCUGGGAAGUCGCCUGGUGGAACUGUUAACUGAAACAGCUUUUGUGCAACCCCCCGUCAACCAGUCAGCAGAUAUUCCACCUGAUGUUCGACCUGCUUUUAGGCACAGAUUUAGAACUAUAACAAAUAAUCCAGGGCAUAAAAUUGUGAAGAAGUAUGGGGUUAUAGAAUGUGAUCCCCUCAUCCUCACUGGACUUGAAGGAUCUGCUAAGCAUAUGUUGAUUCCUUAUUUUCCAAUGCUAGUACCUCCCAAAAAGUGGAAAGGGUAUGACAAGGGUGGACACUUUUUCUUGCCUUCAUAUAUCAUGCGUACUCAUGGAUCUAGGAAGCAACAAGAUGCACUUAGGAGUGUUCCUGGAAAAAAUAUGCAGAAAGUAUUUGAGGCCCUGGAUAUGCUUGGAAACACCAAAUGGAGGGUGAAUAGAAGAGUACUUGAUGCAGUGGAAAGCAUAUGGGCAAGGGGUGGCAAUAUAGCAGGCUUGGUUGAUCGUGAAGAUAUUCCGAUACCAGAGAAACCACUUUCAGAGGAUUUAAGAGAGAUUCAGCAGUGGAGGUGGAGUAUGAGAAAGGCAAAGAAGAUAAACCGAGAAAGGCAUUCUCAGAGAUGUGACACUGAACUUAAGCUUUCUGUGGCACAAAAACUGAAAGAUGAGGAGGGCUUUUAUUAUCCUCACAAUCUUGAUUUUCGAGGCCGUGCGUACCCAAUGCAUCCACAUUUGACACAUCUAAGUUCUGAUAUUUGUCGAGGAAUUCUUGAAUUUGCAGAAGGACGACCAUUAGGGAAGUCUGGGUUACGCUGGCUGAAGAUACAUUUGGCAAACCUGUAUUCAGGAGGGGUUGAAAAACUCUCUCAUGAAGGGCGCCUAGCUUUUGUGGAAAAUCACUUAGAUGACAUAUUUGAUUCAGCAGAAAACCCUGUUCAUGGAAAAUGUUGGUGGCUAACGGCUGAAGAUCCUUUCCAGUGCUUAGCUGCUUGUGUUAAUCUAUCAGAAGCCUUAAAGAGCUCAUCACCACACACUGUCAUCUCCCACCUGCCAAUCCAUCAGGAUGGAUCUUGCAAUGGCUUGCAGCAUUAUGCAGCCUUGGGAAGAAACAGUCUCGAAGCAGCAGCAGUUAACUUAGUUGCUGGUGAAAUACCUGCUGAUGUUUAUACAGAAAUUGCUGUGAGGGUCCAUGAAAUAAUAAAAAGAGACAGCAGGAAGGACCCUACUACAAAUCCAAAUGCCAUAUUAGCCAACCUUUUAAUUGAUCAGGUGGAUCGAAAAUUGGUUAAACAAACAGUAAUGACUUCAGUAUAUGGUGUCACUUAUGUUGGGGCACGUGAGCAAAUAAAACGAAGAUUAGAGGAGAAGGGUCAUAUUACAGAUGAUAGGCUGCUAUUCAGUGCAGCUUGUUAUACUGCUAAAGUAAGUAACCAUGCCCUAAUAUAAAGGAUUAGCUUUUUGGCACUUGAGAGCAUGGUGUAGGGUAUGGGAUUGAGAUUAAAUAAAUAAACCGAGGGAGACACUUUUACCACAACCUUUUGUAACAAAAUCCACCAUUUUAUUAUUGAUAGCACACAACACCCAGUUUCUUUACUUCCCCUCUUUUUCUCCACAUAUCUCUGUGGCCCUUCAAAAUCACUGCUAAAACAGCAAUCAGCAGAUCACAAGUUAGUUUUUGAUGGUAGUGGUGGCACACUUUCUUGGAAUGCAUUUGAUCAUCCAUAUGGCACCAAAUGAUCAACCAAUGACCAAGGAGCAGAUGCAUGUGUGUUUGCGUUUAUGAGCUUACCAAUCAAAAGGAUCCACUACUGUGCCCAAAUAUGGAGUGCAUUAAUCCAGCUGAAGCAAUCCCAAAAGGAUCUCUUCCUGAUAUUGUCAUGUCUCUCCUCUUCCACUUCUUUUCGUUUUUCUUUUUCUGUUUCACUUCAAUCAAUAUACAUAUCUUUGUAAGCAGAAAACUAUUGAUUGGAUCAAGAAAUGACUUGGUAUUUUCAGACUUUAUGUGGCAUUACGCAUUAGCCUAAUAAGGUGAUGGAGAAAGGGUGAUGGUGACAAAAAGGGUAGACAAAGUGAAAAGGUGACAAUGACUGCCCUGGGGGAAUUAUUCCAAGCUGCACGUGAUAUAAUGAAUUGGCUUGGUGAUUGUGCAAAGGUUAUUGCUUUAGAAGAUCAGCCUGUGCGGUGGACAACUCCUCUAGGUCUUCCUGUUGUGCAACCAUACUAUAAGAGUGAACGACAUCUUAUACGAACUUCACUUCAGGUUUUGGCCCUGCAGCGGGAGGGUAACUCGGUCGAGGUUAGGAAACAGAGAACUGCAUUCCCUCCAAAUUUUGUUCACUCGCUUGAUGGUUCACACAUGAUGAUGACUGCUGUAGCAUGCAGAGAUGCUGAUUUGCGUUUUGCAGGUUUGUCUCGCACAAAAAUGCUUUAUUAGGACUGAGGUCCUCAGGAAAAAGAAUCUAUUGCAAGGCUAUUUGCAGGCUCAAGGACAAUAAUUUUUCCAUAAUUUAUUUUGUGCUCAAUUAUGCUGUUCUGGUUCUGUUGUGAUAUGUUUCAAGAGUUGGAUAGUCAAAUGUGACCAUUGUUUUUACCUUAUCUGAUUCUGACGUCUUUAACAAAUAAUGAAUCAAUCCCUUCUGCAGGUGUGCAUGACUCCUUCUGGACACAUGCAUGUGAUGUGGAUUUGAUGAAUCAAAUUCUUAGGGAAAAGUUUGUGGAGCUUUAUAGCAUGCCAAUACUUGAAAAUUUGCUAGAGAACUUCCAGACAUCGUAUCCCACAUUGAAAUUUCCUCCUCUCCCAGAGCGAGGCAACUUUGACUUGCAAGAAGUUCUCAGAUCUCCAUACUUUUUCAAUUGAUUCUCCAGCAAGCAACAACCUACCAUACCUUAAUCUGAAGCAUCAUUUCUUCCGUUUUCAGCCUAUUAAAGGCCAAGAGUUCAAUGAGAAAUUAAUCCAAGCAUCAAGCUGACAUUUGAAGUGGGAAACAGAAGCCUAAGGUUGCUUCUCCAAGAACACAGCUACCUGUUGCCUAGUUGCCUUUGGUAUACCUGCAACCUUCAAGGCUUUCUUAAAAGACCAUUUGUACAUAGUAAUCAGAUUCAAGACACCGGACUGAUUCUAUCUGGGAGGAUGAACAGCCCGGACUGAUUCUAUCUCGGAGGAUGAACUGCCCAAAUGAUCUACUGAAGUACACAGUGAAGGAAACUCUACCUUCAGUUAGGUUAUAAGAUUGUUGAUAUCUCGUCCAUGGAGUGAUCUUCCGGAAACUAAUCAGCAGAAAGAAAUUCAUAGAUCAAUUACUUUUCGAGAUGAAGUAUAUUACACAACACAUGCGGUGAAGUUUCUUUUCUUAAUUUUUUGCCCCUCCCUUUGGCAAGCUCAUCACUUGAAAUCAGGCUACUUUUAUUGCUGUUAAUUGAUGUAAGAUCUUUUCUUUUCGCGCCCUCCUUUUUGUUAUCAUGUAUCAUCCUUCUGUAUAUGCUUAUCGUGUCGGACGAGACAAGUACACUCUAUGCCUAUUAAAUUGCUGACUGUACCAUUUAUAGAGCAAAUGGCAAAAGUCAAACAAGUUGUUGCAUCCACAAAGGAAAAUUCAUAUCUAUUCUCCCCCUAAAAUCCAUAUAAUGGACAAAU
rnacentral:misc_RNA from 1 species